AAUCCACAAACACCUGUGCACCUUUGCGUGAGUUUCUGGGGACGGGGGGUUUUAACACUCUCUAAGUACCGGGAGCUCGCGUCCUUUUCACAAACUCUUGUAUGUCUUUAAGAAUGUCUAUCUUGAUGUAAUAAAACGCAUCUAAUACAACUUUCAACAACGGAUCUCUUGGCUCUCGCAUCGAUGAAGAACGCAGCGAAAUGCGAUAAGUAAUGUGAAUUGCAGAAUUCAGUGAAUCAUCGAAUCUUUGAACGCACCUUGCGCCCUUUGGUAUUCCGAAGGGCACACCUGUUUGAGUGUCGUGAAAUUCUCAACCCUCCUCACUUUUGUGACGGUAGUGGCUUGGACUUGGAGGCUUUGCCGGCUUUGUUCGGCUCCUCUUAAAUGUAUUAGUGCAUCUCGUUGCGAUGUACCCUCGGUGUGAUAAUUAUCUACGCUGUGUGUGUACUCGCUUCUUUUUGAGACGUGCUUCAAACCGUCCGAAAGGACAAUUCAUCGAAACUUGACCUCAAAUCAGGUGGGACUACCCGCUGAACUUAAGCAUAUC
rnacentral:rRNA from 1 species